GCAAUCUGGUUUAAUUUUUUUGUCCUUUUUUAUUUUUGCGGGAAAAUUUAAAUGGAUACAAAAAUCCCAGUGGGUCAAAAGUAAAUAGACUUGUGGAGGAAAGACUCUUGGCUCUUUAGGAAAAGGUGCCAUCCGAGAGCCAAUUGUAUCUACUAUCAAUGGAAGCAGGCUUAGAAAGCAUGGACCAUAAUAAUAGAUACCUCUUCAAAAGUGAGACAUCAAGAUUGUAUCAUAAUUUGAUG